AUCCUGCAUGUUUUAGUUCUCUCCCUAACAACAACCUUUUCAUAAUGUUAAUUUUCUUGUUAGGCCUUCUAACAAGCCAUCAUUUGGUCCAGGUGCGUUAAACCAGGGAAAGAACUAAAACAUGCAGGAUACCGACCCUCGAGGACCAACUUUGGGCACCCCUGAUGACGCUCUUACA